GAUGAACGCUGGCGGCGUGCCUAACACAUGCAAGUCGAACGAUUGAAGCUGGAGCUUGCUCUGGCCGAUUUAGUGGCGGACGGGUGAGUAACGCGUGGGUAACCUGCCUCAUACAGGGGGAUAGCAGUUGGAAACGACUGGUAAAACCGCAUAAGCGCACGGUGUCGCAUGGCACAGUGUGAAAACACGCCGGUGGUAUGAGAUGGACCCGCGUCUGAUUAGCUAGUUGGUGAGGUAACGGCCCACCAAGGCGACGAUCAGUAGCCGGCCUGAGAGGGUGAACGGCCACAUUGGGACUGAGACACGGCCCAAACUCCUACGGGAGGCAGCAGUGGGGAAUAUUGCACAAUGGGGGAAACCCUGAUGCAGCGACGCCGCGUGAGUGAUGAAGUAUUUCGGUAUGUAAAGCUCUAUCAGCAGGGAAGAUAAUGACGGUACCUGACUAAGAAGCACCGGCUAAAUACGUGCCAGCCGCCGCAGUAAUAC
rnacentral:rRNA from 1 species